rnacentral:lncRNA from 12 species
AUGCUUAAGACGAAAAUCACCAUUAGUUUAGGGAUGGAGAAAAUGGUCAUUUUCCCUCCCGUUAUGAAAAAAAAAAAACACCCCACCAAACUAUCCCAAAUAUUGCCAGGUCCCAAUUACCCAUCUAGACUGAGAAGAAGUCCUACUGAAGCUUAUAUGAAAGAGCAGGUUAUAAAAGGGAGCAUCACUUGGCUUUGGGGGGCUGUAAAGCUUCCCCAUUAUACAGUGUGGUAUAAUCUGAUUUUGCAUUCUAGAUCAUGGGCCUCUCGCCACGGAGAUGUUGGCCUCAGAAGCAAUGGGGAGAAGGUGAGAGUUCCAGGCCAUGUUGAAUACGGGAAACAGAACACUCAGAGAACUGCUUUGACAGAAGUGACGUGUGGACAUGGCAGCCGUUGCAAAGGGGUUUGUGUGUCGUCCAGGGACAGUAGUGUGCCAGAACCUGGCUCUUCCAAGCCAUCAGGUGGCUGGUUACCAGUGACCACUCUCGCUGUCCGUGCUUUGUUACUGGGUGCAGCUCAAAAGCAACUAAAUACAUUCAGCCAAAACUUGUAAAGACACUGAGUUGUACCCUCAGCAGGUAAGAGGCAGAACUUUCUGCGAAUGAUCAAGCACCUCGUUGUACAUUUACUGCUGCUAAUUGGGGGUUUGGAUGGCAGGGGGCGGGGGACGCACUGCUUUCCAAAUGCAGUGUGCACAAAAUGCCGUUGAUCUGACUUUGCUCCUGGACACUCUGUGGAAGCGCCAGCUUCCCUGAAAGCUCUCAAACUGGGAAGAAGCCUUUCAUCAUGAGCCACUCCCUAGUAGUUCAAAGGAUGACUAUGCUUUACAAGAGUCAGAAUAAAGUAAAAUGUUGGA